rnacentral:rRNA from 1 species
AACGAACGCUGGCGGCAGGCCUAACACAUGCAAGUCGAACGCCGUAGCAAUACGGAGUGGCAGACGGGUGAGUAACGCGUGGGAACAUACCCCUCGGUUCGGAAUAACUUAGGGAAACUUGAGCUAAUACCGGAUACGUCCGAGGUUUUAACCGGCCUCGGAGAAAGAUUUAUCGCCGGAGGAUUGGCCCGCGUCUGAUUAGCUUGUUGGUGAGGUAAUGGCUCACCAAGGCGACGAUCAGUAGCUGGUCUGAGAGGAUGAUCAGCCACAUUGGGACUGAGACACGGCCCAAACUCCUACGGGAGGCAGCAGUGGGGAAUAUUGGACAAUGGGCGAAAGCCUGAUCCAGCCAUGCCGCGUGAGUGAUGAA